rnacentral:rRNA from 1 species
UACGUAGGGGGCAAGCGUUGUCCGGAAUCAUUGGGCGUAAAGAGCGCGUAGGCGGUCCGGUAAGUCCGCUCUGAAAGUCCGGGGGCUCAACCCCGGGAGGCGGGCGGAUACUGUCGGGCUAGAGUCCGGAAGAGGCGAGUGGAAUUCCUGGUGUAGCGGUGAAAUGCGCAGAUAUCAGGAGGAACACCGGUGGUGUAAACGGCUUUCUGGACCAUAACUGACGCUGAGGCACGAAAGCGUGGGUAGCAAACGGG